rnacentral:tRNA from 1 species
GCGCUCGUAGCUCAGCUGGAUAGAGCGGCGGUUUCCUAAACCGCAGGUCGUAGGUUCGAGUCCUAUCGGGCGCA